rnacentral:misc_RNA from 1 species
CAAAUCUUCUGCUUCUCAGAAACCAUCCUCGCGCCUCACCAAACCCGGUUCUUCUCACAAGUUCCCCUCCUCCAUGGAUCGUCUACCACCUCCAAUGUGCUUCCCCAACUGGUACCUACACCAAAGAUGCCCUAUUUGAGCUCCAAAAGAACACCUGGACCCUCGCUAAGCCCAUGUCUUCCGCCUUGAAGACUUCAUCCUCCUCUACUUAUGAGCCCAAAAUCAUUCUCAAGGG